GCCUUGCCCGGCGCAGCCCCGGCCGCCGGGCGCACCCGUCCCGUUCGUCCCCGGACGUUGCUCUCUGCCCCGGGAACGUCGAGACUGGAGCGCCCGAACUGAGCCACCUUCGCCAACCCGGAGCGCCGCGGCCCUACUCACCCGGGAGGCUCCCGGACGCGUAAAUGUCCCCCAGGGCUAGGCCUGGGCCCCGAAGGCAGCUUCUGGGAGUUGCGCUGGUUAGAACGCCCUAGCAAUCACAGGGACUUUUCUGGGAUGACCGGGUCCCAGCCGGAUCCCGCAGCUCCAGCCGCCCGCGUCCAGUGCUCUACCAACCCUGGUGACCAGCUGUCUUAACUUCCCGGGCUGGAGAGCGCGCUUGCGUCCCAGGCUGGGCUGGGCGCGGGCAGAUCGCUUGCACCCAGCAAAGGAACUUGUCCUGUCCGGAGAAGCGCAGGACCUGGGACAGGGAUAUGGGGCAAGUCCACCCGUUGCCACUGUGUCUUAGAAAAAAAGCUAUCACCGGUUGAAAGAGCCUGUUUGUGCUGCUUGGGGCCUGCUGAUGGGUGUGCCCAUGUGCACACACAUGUGUACUUCUGUGGCUGUCAUGGCCUGGGGCUGAUGUAAGUCCAGCUCCUGUGGGCCCCUCUGUGGGCCCAGCCGGCCAGUCACACCUGGACCACACUCCUUCCUGACCUGCUACAUCCAGGAAAGCAGCUGCCAGCCUCUCUGGGGAGUGGCUGGUGUUUUGUGGGGGACAGGCUACACCUGCAUCUCAGGGUUCCAGAGCGUUGAAUGAGGCACCCAGCUCCAGCCCCUUCAUGGCCUCUUGUGCAGGGGGACCUCCCAGGCACUCAGAAGAGAUGGUUCAACCCCCACACCCAGAGAAGAGUGUUGGAGAAUGGACCUUGUUGCACCUGACCAUGAGCCUAGCCUUCCAUGGCCAUCAUUCUGUCUAUCUCUCCUUGACUGGCCUGUGGACACUCCAGGGGCUUUUGUGUCUCUGAGCCUCUACCCAUGCUGUUCCUGUAGCCUUUCUCUUUCAUCUAGACUCUCUGUUCCUCCUUUUCCAAAGGAACAGGAGCAACCCCAGCCCCACACAGGGGAGCCCAGCUCUCCUGCCCAGGCUCUGCUUGCAGGAUCACAACCCCUCUCCUUGGCCUGCUCACUCUCCAAGGCCUGCAGCCUCCCCAGUGGAUGCAUUUCUAUCUGCCCUGCAGACCUGCCCCUCCCAGACUGGCUCAGCUGGGAUCCCUUGUAGUAACUGCUGGGAGGCACCCAAUAAAGCUUUGUGCACUGAGUA